CCCCUGCUCUCAUCCCACGGUCUGCUGACCACGCGGUGCUCCUGGAGAACCACCCCUGAACAGAUUGGAGGACAGGUCCAGUUCUCUGCAGAUGCUUUGGGCCCAAAGAGAGGCAGAGGAAAAUAAAAGCGUCCAAUCAAUAACAGAACAGGAGAACUCUAAACGCUGCAGGAGAGAGGAUCCGGAAUCCCAUCCCGCCGUCCCGGGUGGAAGGCAGGACAGCUGCAGGAGCCGAACUCUCCAGGUUCCGCUCCGGGAUCGCUGCCGGGAUCGACGUGAGCGUUCAUAAUAAAUGGAAUCGUUUUUUUGUCGUUGAGCUUCUUCACGCCAACUGGCCAAUUAAAGCAGCUGCUGGAACCUCGGCUGGAACCGCAGUCAGGAGCAAACUCCGCGGCAAGAGGAAGACAGACGGCGCGGGCUGCUAUGAAAUGCAGCUUUUGUACCGGGACGUGUUUCCAUGGUUACACAAUUUUUCAUGGAGACGUUAUACGUCCUGAAAAUUGGAGGAGAGCCGCGAUAAGAUUAGUAUCUAAUCUCCAAGGAGAUAUAUGGGUUGAUGGACUGUGUCUGAGAGGGAACAAAAUAAAACAAAUAAAGCACAAACGGAACUCGAAAAAAACUUAUGCUGCUAAUAAAACAAAUGUCGUCCGCUGGUAGAAAGUUCAUACUGAGUUUGCCUGCGGCUCGCAGAAUAGCUGGAGAGAAGGACGGAUUGAUGAAUAGAAGACUAGAUCAUGAAUCCCAAAGGUUCUGCUGUCUCCGGACCGGCUACUGUCUGCUCUGAUGUCUCCUGGGUAAAACAGAGAUGUCUCGGGCCUCAGAAACAUUCAUGCCUCCAAACACCCUCCAUCCAGAGCUGGGAGGGGCUCUCCGGUCUACUGGAGAUUUGGUUUUGCGCCGCUCUGACUGAUCGGCUCGGCUGUCUGCGCACCGCCGUCUCUCCUGGAGUACAUCAUGGUUCCGGCGUGGCUCUGCCAUCCAUUGCUCCGCCUUGCAGCUCUCUAAUGAGCCCGCCCCUUGUCUCCGCCCGGCUCUGCUUAGCAACGCGCUGUAAUCUGACGGCCCGCCGGGCGAGGAGCGGAAUCCGACAGACC
ensembl:lncRNA